CAUGAUUCUAACAAUCUGCCAUAUUGGCCAAACUCUUAAGGAAUCUAAGCAUUGGUCAGACUCUUAAGGAAUCUGAGCACCUUAAUGGAGAUGAAAUGGAUCUUAUAUACAGAAAGACUGCGGGAGGGAUCUAGGACCAGCCAAGUAGUCUGGGGUGACUGAGAGAUGGAGUCUAGGGAGGAUCUUGCUGGGAGUGACUGGGAGGUAGAAUGGGGUUUAGAUAGGAUCAAGGGUGGGAAGUAGCCAGGGGGACAUAACAGAAUUUGGAAAUUGAGUUUAGGCCACAAUAAAAGGGCAGUUGAGAGGAUUAUAGCCACAGGUGAAAGCCAGAGACUUGACCACGUGGAAAAGUCUAGGGCUUUUCUUGUUUGGGGUUCAGAUCCCAAAGACAUGGUCUUUUCCUUUUAGGGGUUCAAAUCCCAUCCCCCAUCAACCUCUACAACAGGAGGAGGCAUCAGAAGAGGAAUCGUUGAGAUCAUAUAUCCUUUUGAUUAUUGAGAGACUCUUCUUCAUCCAUCUGAUGCUACUGGGAGCUCAAGGAGGAAGAGGAAAUUGAAAUCAGCUUGUUAGCUGGAAGUCAUAACACACCCAAGAGUAUGGAGUCAUAGAGUCAUACCUAGUUAGUGAGGCAAGAUGCCAUUGACAUCAUCAAGUCUAAUCUGCACAUGAUCAAAGAUGGCUCAUAAAGUGACCUCCCCACAGUUCUCCAGUGAAUCAGUGGAAAUUAAUGGCAGAGGCAGUAUGUUGCUGGAAUUCUUUGGGAUCAGGAAGAAUUCAUGAUCAGCUUCCAUACAAUUACUAAGCCUAUGAGAUUCAAUUUUUUUUAAGUUCUGGACAAACUGUGAAGACUUCUAUGAUCUGAGCCAAGGUGAAGUGAAAACUAGGACAGCAAUUUAUACAAUAACAGCAUUAUAGAGGAAAAAUAACUUUGAAAGGUUUUAGCACUGUGAUUCACACAAUGAUAAAUUGAUUGUCCAGAAAUUGAAGGUGAGGGUAACACCUAGAUUGGGUCAUCCAACUCCUACCCAAAGAGGUUAUGGACUUGCAAAAUAAGGAAUGCAUUUUUGGGGGCAUUGCUAAUGUGGAAAUUUGUUUUGCUG
rnacentral:lncRNA from 1 species